CUUAUACUCCCUCCGUCCGAAAAUUCUUGUCAUCAAAAUGGACAAAAGGGAUGUAUCUAGAACUAAAAUACAUCUAGAUACAUUCCCCUUGAUUCAUUUUGAUGACAAGUAUUUCCGGACGGAGGGAGUACUCC
rfam:Triticum urartu cultivar G1812 contig50875, whole genome shotgun sequence.